AGUCUUUUGAUUUAUAUUAAUAAAAGAUAAUUUCUGCUCAAUGAUGAUAAAUAGCCGCAGUAAUUUGACUGUGCGAAGGUAGCAUAAUCAUUUGCUUUUUAAUUAAGGGCUUGUAUGAAUGGAAAUAUGAAAAUUUUUCUGUCUUUAUUUAGUAAAUAGAAAUUGGUUUUUUUGUGAAGAAACAAGAAUGUUGUAAAGGGACAAGAAGACCCUUUUGAUCUUUAUUUUUAUUUAUAAUGGGUUUAUAUUUUAAAAAUUUGGUUGGGGCGAUCAGAGAAGAAAAAAUCUUCUUUUUUUUAAAAGAUAAAUGAUCCAGAAUUUUUGAUUAAAAGAAUAAGUUACCAAAGGGAUAACAGCGUAAUUUUUUUUGUAAGUUCUUAUUAAAAAAAAAGAUUGCGACCUCGAUGUUGACUUAUUAAAACUUUUUGGUGUAGCAGCUAAAAAAGUGGGUCUGUUCGACCUUUAAAGUAUU
rnacentral:rRNA from 1 species